UAUAAGGGAUUUUGAGUUUUUAUUUUCAACGUUUGACCACUCGUCUUGAUUAAAAAAUUUUAAAAUUAUUAUUUAUUUAAUUGUGACUUACUUUAUUAUCUACAGUACUUUAAGCAUAAUUUUUCGUUUUUUACAUUUGCAAAAAAAUUUUAAUAAGACGAGCGGUCAAACGUUGUAAGCAAAAACUCAAAAUCCCUUAUA
rnacentral:pre_miRNA from 1 species